CCUACGGGUGGCAGCAGUGGGGAAUAUUGGACAAUGGGGGCAACCCUGAUCCAGCCAUGCCGCGUGUGUGAAGAAGGCCCUCGGGUUGUAAAGCACUUUCAGUGAGGAAGAACGCCUGGUGGUUAAUACCCAUCAGGAAAGACAUCACUCACAGAAGAAGCACCGGCUAACUCCGUGCCAGCAGCCGCGGUAAUACGGAGGGUGCGAGCGUUAAUCGGAAUUACUGGGCGUAAAGCGCGCGUAGGUGGCUUGAUAAGCCGGUUGUGAAAGCCCCGGGCUCAACCUGGGAACGGCAUCCGGAACUGUCAAGCUAGAGUGCAGGAGAGGAAGGUAGAAUUCCCGGUGUAGCGGUGAAAUGCGUAGAGAUUGGGAGGAAUACCAGUGGCGAAGGCGGCCUUCUGGACUGACACUGACACUGAGGUGCGAAAGCGUGGGUAGCAAACAGGAUUAGAUACCCUUGUAGUC
rnacentral:rRNA from 1 species